CCAUUGUUCUUAUGUAUAAAGCACAGGUUACAGGUUAUUUCUGAAGAUGUCUGCUCAAGUGGAGAUGCUACCAGAGACCGGAGUGGGAGAGAAACUGUUACAGCCAAUCACUUCCUUCCAGGAAAAAAAAAGACGCAAAUAACAACACAAAAAAACGUGAUCUAAUAGACAAUCCAGAUAUAAAGAACACAAACCCUUUUCCCUACAAUUUAACCAAAUGCUAAAAUGCACCAGGAAACACAGGAUACUACAGAGAUAAAGAUUUGGCCAGCAGAUUAUCAACCCCAGGAAAAGAAAUCCAUUUCUGUAGCAUGCUAUGCUGUUGGAGGCACACGUCACACUUCUUAAUUCAAGGACAGAAAAGCACAAACUAAAAUGCACACUGGAGUAUGACUCCCCCUUCUCUAUCUGCUAAAGCGCUUCGCAUGUGACUUUCAAUCUCUAAGCUGGGAAUCAAUCAGGCAGCCCAGCCUCCUAUAUUUUCUAGUUGUAUUGCUUUGAGCAUCAAAUUUAACCUCUGUGCACCUCAAUUUCUUCAGCUGGAGACAAAGAAAGUGGCUGCACUGUGGCAGAGUGUUUGCAAAUGUUAAUCAUGGUUAUGGUAGCAUUCUACCUUGUCUUACAGAUGGUUGCCUAAAAAGGUAGGAAACUGUUCACGAAAAAGUCUCAACCGGUCCUAGAGUGAUCAGAAUGACAGCGCUGAAAUAAGGAGGGCAGUACCUCUUAUUCCAGAGAAGUGGGGAGCAGAGAGGAAGAUGGAGUGGAAAGGGGCGAGGCAAGGCCCUCCUGAAAUACCUCAACCCAAAUCUUCAAGAAAUCCCCAAGUCCUCACAGUGCUUUUUGUGGAUUUUUGUGGAAACCGGUAAAAGGGGCUGAUUUGCUGACCCCAGUGGGUAGAAAACAGAGACUGUCAAGAGAACAGAAGAGAAGGCAGAAAGGGGAUGGGGAAGUGGGGUUCGCCAUGUUCACGAGCUCCUGGAGCCACAGGGCCCCCCAGGAACAACAGAGCUGAGACUGGGUGGCCUUGUUUCUGGCCCAAUUCCCUGGGACCACCACCCUGGAAGGACACUUGAGCCCUACUCAAGGACCCACCACAACAUCUCAGCAUUGUCGGUCCUUAAAUGCCAAGGUUUGUGCUCACCAUUUCCAUCCUUAAGAUUCUCACAGGGAAGAACCCACACAACAGCUUUGUCCCUGCGACUCUGGGUGAGUUUCUGACACUGGCCUGGGCUCCCGUUUUGCCCGUCACCAACUUCUCACAGUAUAACUAUCCAAGAGAAGUAGCAUUUGAUGUCAGGGAAUCAAAAGGGCUAAGGCUCGGGAGGCCAAGGCAGGUGAAUCACUUGUAAUCAGGAGUUCGAGACCACCCUGACCAACAUAGUGAAACCCCAUCUCUACUAACAAUACAAAAAAUUAACCAGGUGUGGUGGCAGGUGCCUGUAAUCCCAGCUACUCAGGAGGCUGAGGUAGGAGGAUCACUUGAACCCAGGAGGCAGAGGUUGUGGUACGCCAAGAUCAUGACACUGCACUCCAGCCUGGGUGACAGAGUGAGACUCCAUCUCAAAAAAAAAAAAAAAAAAGGCCUAAGGCUUACUCAGGGUCAUCUAUGGUUUGCCAAGCAGAGUUCAAUCCAAUCAACAAAACCCUCACUGCCCACUUUUCCAAAACCUGAUAUAGUCAGUCACUAGUAGCUGCCAUUUGCUGUUUUGCCUUCUAUUAAAAAAAAAAAAAAAAAAAAAACCAUCCAAUUCCCAGAAGUCAAAGGCAAUUCCUUCCCUUUUCUGUGUCUGUGAGACGGCUCUCUGUGGGAUUCCUUCCUGCUGCACCUCAUCCUUCCUGGAAGGGACUCUCAGAAAAUGUGCCUCCUCCUUACAGGAAAGGAAUUCCUCCCGAGGAACUGUGGACAUGAGGCAGCUUUGUGGAAUUUCCCUUCCACAGACUUCAGCCUAUUUUCUGGGCAAACUUAGCAGAAAUGACCAAAAUCCACUCGAGAGAGACAGCAACAAGGAGAGGGGAAGAGAUCCUAUUUUGGCUUCUUCAAAUGGACCAAUUUUCUCUUUAAAAUAUUUAUUUUAAGGAAAAACAAGGACUACAUUAUAUUUUAAAGGGGGAGAAGGAAGAGGAUUUUGAGUUGCUAAGAGAACAGAGCCAUCUCUUUUCUUUUAAUACUGGAUGCUAAGAACUUGCACAGGGUUUUCCCAAAAGCCAGAUAGUUCAGGUAAUUUGCAUGUGGCUGUAAAAGAGAAAGUUCAGGCCAGGCACUGUGGCAACAUGGUGAAACCCCAUCUCUACUAAAAAUACAAAAAUUAGCUGGGUGUGGUGGUGCAAGCCUGUAAUCCCAGCUACUUGGGAGGCUGAGGCAGGGGAAUCACUUGAAUCUGGGAGGUGGACGUUGCAGUGAGCCAAGAUCACACCACUGCACUCCUGGGCGACAGAGACUCUCUCAAAAAAAAAAAAAAAAAAAAAAAAAGAGAGAGAGAAAGUUGAGAGCAUAAGUCUGAGUGAUUCUGCCUGAAAGAACAGAACAGCUUACACUGGACAGGCUUUUGCCCAAGACACACCUCAUCUGGCAUUGAGAAA